ensembl:lncRNA
AGUUAUAUGUCCAUGCUCUAACUGCCAAGACGGCUUGGAAAAAGAACAGCUCACUUUUUUUUGCCUCUGUUAUAUUGGGUGGGCUCAGUCAGCCAAGAAGAAGGGUGGGGGAAGGAAUGGUGGGGAGAUAGGCAACCAAAAAGUAUCUGCCUCAGAAGGGAAUUAACAUUCUCUGAGCAUGGUUUCUAACCCCAGCUGUCCCCGAAAUUUCCAGCUUCCCCUUUAAUGUCUAACUAACGAUCAGACCCCAUGACAUGAACAAGACUAAACUUUAUCAGGUUCUUUCUGCGGAUAUUACUCAGAAUCUCUGGGGGAUGUUCACAUGUCCCAUGGACCAUCCCUGUGGUUGCUUGGCAACCACAGUGAGCUGUCUCUCCCAGGACUUCUACAGCCCUUGUCUGCCUUCUCUUAACUGCCUGCCACAGGGUGCCACUCCUGUCCCCAACACCAUCUGAAUCUGGAGGCACUACCCAGCCCUCUUCCUUAUCAGCCCCCUAAAACAUGGCUGAGUUAACCAGAAAACAGACUCAAUUACUGUAAAUGAGACUCCCACAAACAGUGGCUUAAACAAAGCAGAAGUUUAUUUUUAACAGUAAGAAUGUCUGUAAGCAACCAUGAUGACUAGACCUCCUGUGACCGUGUUGUGGGAGGCAGUCUACUUGCCACGGAGGGGGCCUUCCUGCCUCUCCCUCUAGACUGUGGACCCUUACUCUCCCUUGCCUACGCCAGAUGUGGGCAGUGGGGAGAUCCUGGUUCUUCGAAGGAAAGCUCCACCCACUGUUCCCCAUGGUUCAGACAAAAUGAUUGGCUUAGAGAUGGCAUAUGAGACUCAAGUGGACCCAUGAGAUUCAAGGCCAAGACUGGAGCUGGGACCACAGGGGAAGAAAAGCACUAUUUCUGCCAGGGUUGCUGAGUCGGCAAGAAGUGAGCCUGGAGCUGCCAGGGCCAUCCCGGGUACCUGGCGAGGAGACCGGAGCUAACACGGAGGGAAGCACUGAGACAGCAGGAGUGGAAGAGCGUCACAGCGGCGAGGUUUGAGCCCCUGGACGCGGCUGCGCCUGAAGCCACUUUUGGACUUUCCAGCUUCAUGCGCCAGUGAAUUCCCCACUUUGUGAAAGCUUACUUUCAGUUGAGCUUUUCUCGCUGGAAAGCAUCCAGGCUGCCACUAGAAGGUUAAGCAACUUGCCCAAAGCCUGAAAGGCAGCAAGCAGCAGACCUAGGGUUUAGAAGCUUCUAACCAACUGCAGUCAGACCAACAUUCUAUAUUGGGGUAUUCACUGAUUUCACCUCUUUUUACUCGUUUUCUCAUCACAAAAUGGCAUCACACCAGACUUUUAGGACUGUUGGAAAAUACAAAAUGCGAGAUCAGGACCCCCCUGGCAGUCAGUGGUUAAGACUCCACACUUCCUCUGCAGGGGGUGCAGGCUCAAACGCUGGUCAGAGAACUAAGAUGCUAUGUGCCACACAGCCAAAAAAACAAUUCUUUUUUUUUUUUUUUAAGAAAAAGCCAAAAUAAACUAUUUUUAAAAAAUAAAAUGCAACAUCACAGCUAGCAUGUCUGUAACCCAUGCUGAAGCUCUCUCUACACAUCCAGUUUCCGUGCUGCGGGCCUGGGUUUUGUCCCGAGUCAGUUAUCCCAUCUCAGGGAUGGAGAUAACUCAUCUCAGUUAUCCCAUCUCAGGGAUGUGUUUGGCUGUCACCAAAUCAGCCAACUGGUCCAGAUGCCCAAACCUCUUCAGGAGAGCAGCUGUGAAUCUCAGAGGGAAGGGCCGUGUCUCUUCUUGGCUGUGUAUCCUCACUGGCAGACAGAAGGAGUUGGGGGCCCGCAAGGAUUCUAGGGGUCCGAGUCUAUGAGGUAGAAAAAAGCCCUGUUGUCUUGAUUUCUGGAACCUUCCAAGGUCUGGUGGGCCCAUCUGGGAAUGACCUGUAGCUCAAGGAAGACAACACUAAAUCAGAUCGACUUUGUCUCUUUUCUUCAUGCAGUUUACAUGCAGUGGUAGACGAGAACACAGAAAAAUGUAUGAGAUAACACCACGUGGUAACAGUAGGGAGAAAAUAUGUCCUCAAAGGCGGAUUCGGGGCACUGUUUACUC